UACAGAGGUCUCAAGCGUUGUUCGGAUUCAUUGGGCGUAAAGGGUGCGUAGAUGGCGGGGCAAGUCUGGUGUGAAAUCCCGGGGCUCAACCCUGGAACUGCACUGGAUACUGCUUUGCUAGAGUACUGGAGAGGGAACUGGAAUUUACGGUGUAGCAGUGAAAUGCGUAGAUAUCGUAAGGAAGACCAGUGGCGAAGGCGAGUUCCUGGACAGUUACUGACACUGAGGCACGAAGGCCAGGGGAGCAAACGGG
rnacentral:rRNA from 1 species